UACGUAGGUGGCAAGCGUUGUCCGGAAUUACUGGGCGUAAAGGGCGUGUAGGCGGCCUUUUAAGUCAGACGUGAAAAUCCAGGGCUUAACCCUGGGACUGCGUUUGAGACUGGAAGGCUUGAGGAUCGGAGAGGGCAGUGGAAGUCCCAGUGUAGCGGUGAAAUGCGUAGAUAUUGGGAGGAACACCAGUGGCGAAGGCGGCUGCCUGGACGACACCUGACGCUGAGGCGCGAAAGCUAGGGGAGCAAACGGG
rnacentral:rRNA from 1 species